AGGUGCGACCAUACCAGCACUAACGCACCGGAUCCCAUCAAAACACCAAAGUUAAGCGUGCUCGGGCACGAGUGUUACUAGGAAGGGUGACCCCCUGGGAAGUCUUCGUGUUGCACCCC
rnacentral:rRNA from 1 species